AGUUCGUGGAUUAAUUUGUCUGGUUAAUUCCGUUAACGAACGAGACCUUGACUGGCUAAUUAAGGUUCAAUAUUUUAUAUUGAUCCUUAUUAGAAGGACCAUGUGUACUCAACGCAAGGAAGCGCGAGGCAAUAACAGG
rnacentral:rRNA from 1 species